GUUGAGGGUGGGGCACUGUCGGGUGGAACCUUCAGUAGCCAGCCUGGACAGCUAAAGAUUCUCCCUGGGCUCACUGAAGGCACCAGGGACAAGGAGGGAUGCCUGCAAGCAGCUCCCCACAACAGCUAAAGCAGCUCCCUGUGCUCCGAGGCUAUGGGGCCUGGACAGAUGGGCAUGGGGACAAGUUCUGGAAGGACAAAGGAGUUAUAGGACCUCUUUUCAUGGACUUUUUAGGAAGAAUUCUGGCCCCAUACCUCUGCCUUUUGUUGGGAUGAGGCUUAACUACAUCGGGAUGCUAGAGGUUUUGUAAGAACCUGGGAAGAAGUGACAUCACUAUGCUGGAGGAGAUUCUGCCUCUUCAUCUCUUCUCAUCCAUUAUCAGAAACCACAGCACUUAUCACAGGGUCUGACGAGCUGACAUGGUCAA